rnacentral:rRNA from 1 species
GAUGAACGCUGGCUACAGGCUUAACACAUGCAAGUCGAGGGGAAACGCCGGGGAAGCUUGCUUCCCCGGGCGUCGACCGGCGCACGGGUGAGUAACGCGUAUCCAACCUGCCUCUGACUGAGGGAUAACCCGUCGAAAGUCGGCCUAAUACCUCAUGGUAUCGUCUGCGGGCAUCCAACGACGAUUAAAGAUUUCAUCGGUCAGGGAUGGGGAUGCGUCUGAUUAGCUUGUUGGCGGGGUAACGGCCCACCAAGGCUACGAUCAGUAGGGGUUCUGAGAGGAAGGUCCCCCACAUUGGAACUGAGACACGGUCCAAACUCCUACGGGAGGCAGCAGUGAGGAAUAUUGGUCAAUGGGCGAGAGCCUGAACCAGCCAAGUAGCGUGCAGGAAGACGGCCCUAUGGGUGGUAAACUGCUUUUAUGCGGGGAUAAAGUGAGGGACGUGUCCCUCAUUGCAGGUACCGAAUGAAUAAGGACCGGCUAAUUCCGUG